rnacentral:lncRNA from 1 species
UGCUACAGUCUCCCUAAGAAACCAGGGAGAUGUGUUCAUAGCAGCUUUGUUAGUAAUAGCCACAAACUGGAAACAACCUACGUGUCCCUCAACUGAAGAAUGAAUUUUUAAAAAUGUAGUAGUUCUACAAUGGAGUAUUACUCAGUCAUUAAAAACAAGACAUGAUGAAAUGCUGGUAAAUGGAUGGAACUAGGAAAGAUCAUCCUGAGUGAGGUAACCAAGACCCAGAAAGACAAACAUGACAAAACUCGGAUGGAAGGCCCAACCUUCCCUACUGCAAGGGGCUACCUGACCACUGGACAGGAAGAACUUAUCCUCCUGCAGGAGAGAGUCAAGAAUGGGGAAAUGUCUGUGGAUGAAGCUCUAGAGAAGUUUAAACACUGGCAGAUGGGAAAGAGUGGACUGGAAAUGAUUCAGCAGGAAAAGCUACGCCAACUGCGAGACAACAUUAUUGGGAAAAGGCCAGAAGAUGAAAACGCCUAUGAUAAACUGACCAUUGUGCACCAUCCGAGUGGUAAUACUGCCCACAAUGAAAAAAUGCUGUACAACAGCCCCUUCAACAGUAAG